rnacentral:tmRNA from 1 species
GGGGGUGAACGGUUUCGACUCUGUUCGUCGAAUCAGGGGAAGCGUGCCGGUGCAGGCGAGAGACCACCGUUAAGCGUCGUCGCACAUCAAUAAGCGCCAACAAACAAGAAGCGCGCCAGGAUCAGUUCGCGCUCGCUGCGUGAGCUAGUUUGAUCCUUGUCGGCCCGGGGAUGCCUCCGACCCGGUGGCCGGCAUCAGCUAGGAGGACUUACCACUGAGGUUGGUCGCGGACCUGAGUGGGACAUUCUACAGCGACUGGGCCCGUCACACCGGCUUGUUCGCGUGACCGGUGGGGCCGAGUAGAGGCACAGCGAACUGCGCACGGAGAAGUCCUGGUGAAGCAACAGAGGACCCGGGUUCGAUUCCCGGCACCUCCACAA